rnacentral:rRNA from 1 species
GAUGAACGCUGGCGGCGUGCUUAACACAUGCAAGUCGAACGGAAAGGCCCAAGCUUGCUUGGGUACUCGAGUGGCGCACGGGUGUGUAACACGCGGGUGAUCUGCCCUGCACUUCGGGAUAAGCCUGGGAAACUGGGUCUAAUACCGGCUAGGACUAUGGUUUGGAUGCCAUUUUUGCAAGUUUUUUCGGUGUGGGGUGAGCUCGCGGCCUAUCAGCUUGUUGGUGGGGUAAUGGCCUACCAAGGCGUCGACGGGUAGCCGGCCUGAGAGGGUGUACGGCCACAUUGGGGCUGAGAUACGGCCCAGACUCCUGCGGGAGGCAGGAGGGGGGAAUAUGGCACAAUGCGCGCAAGCCUGAUGCAGCGACGCCGCGUGGGGGGUGACGGCCUUCGGGUUGUAAAUUGCUUUCGCUAGUGACAAGGCGUUUUUGUGACGGUACCUGAAGAAGAAGCACCGGCUAACUACGUG